AAACUAACAAGGAUUCCCCUAGUAGCGGCGAGUGAAGCGGGAAGAGCUCAAAUUUGUAAUCUGGCGUCUUUCAGGCGUCCGAGUUGUAAUCUAUAGAAGUGUUUUCCGUGCUGGACCAUGUCCAAGUCCCUUGGAACAGGGUAUCAAAGAGGGUGACAAUCCCGUACUUGACAUGACCACCAGUGCUCUGUGAUACACUCUCUACGAGUCGAGUUGUUUGGGAAUGCAGCUCAAAAUGGGUGGUAAAUUCCAUCUAAAGCUAAAUAUUGGCGAGAGACCGAUAGCGAACAAGUACCGUGAGGGAAAGAUGAAAAGCACUUUGGAAAGAGAGUUAAACAGUACGUGAAAUUGUUGAAAGGGAAACGAUUGAAGUCAGUCGUGUUCAUUGGACUCAGCCGGUUUUCGGUGUAUUUCCUUUGAACGGGUCAACAUCAGUUUUGUCCGGUGGAUAAAGGCAGGAAGAAAGUGGCUCCCUCGGGAGUGUUAUAGCUUUCUGUCACAUACACUGGAGGAGACUGAGGACUGCAGCUCGCCUUUUGGCCGGGGUUCGCCCACGUUCGAGCUUAGGAUGUUGACAUAAUGGCUUUAAACGAC
rnacentral:rRNA from 1 species